GCGGCAGUGGCGGAAUCGGCAGACGCGCUAGAUUCAGGUUCUAGUGCCCGUUCGGGUGUGGAGGUUCAAGUCCUCUCUGCCGCACCA
rnacentral:tRNA from 1 species